GAUGAAGAACGCAGCGAAAUGCGAUAAGUAAUGUGAAUUGCAGAAUUCAGUGAAUCAUCGAAUCUUUGAACGCACAUUGCGCCCGCCAGUAUUCUGGCGGGCAUGCCUGUUCGAGCGUCAUUUCAACCAUCAAGCCCCAGGCUUGUGUUGGGGACCUGCGGCUGCCGCAGGCCCUGAAAACCAGUGGCGGGCUCGCUGUCACACCGGGCGUAGUAGAUUUUAUCUCGCUCAGGGCGUGCUGCGGGUUCCGGCCGUUAAAAAGCCUUUUUACCCUAGGUUGACCUCGGAUCAGGUAGGAAUACCCGCUGAACUUAAGCAUAUCAAUAAGCGGAGGA
rnacentral:misc_RNA from 1 species